rnacentral:snoRNA from 1 species
AGUGGCCCUUAUCGAAGCUGCAGUUGCUUCCACGUAGCUUUUUGCGGUCAAAAAGGAGCCCAGAGUGACAGCUUUCCUUGGCGGUCGCCGUUCUCUUUGCUGUAACCGAUCUGCAACAUUUCAGGAAAAGACAGUU